UCCACUGAACUUUCAGAGAUGGAUUGGUGCCUUCGGAACAUUGAGACAGGUGCUGCAUGGUGUCGUCAGCUCGUGUCGUGAGAUGUUGGGUUAAGUCCCGUAACGAGCGCAACCCUUGUCCUUAGUUACCAGCACGUAAUGGUGGGCACUCUAAGGAGACUGCCGGUGACAAACCGCAGAAAGGUGGGGAUGACGUCAAGUCAUCAUGGCCUUACGCCUGGCUACACACGUGCUACAUGGUCGGUACAGAGGUGCAGCGCGAGUGAGCUAUCCAUAUACGAUCGUAGUCGAUCGCAGUCUGCACUCGACUGCGUGAGUCGAUCGCUAGUAUCGCGAUCAGAUGUCGCGUGAUACGUCC
rnacentral:rRNA from 1 species